rnacentral:lncRNA from 1 species
ACAGCCACUCUUGCCAUCCCAGAGUGCACUAAGGUAUGAGCUGCCCUUGCAAAUUUUCUCCUUAGGUAACUCAGUGCCUGAGUGGAUUGUUUGAGUCCAGGCUGACUUGGGAGACAUGGAAGCUAAUGUCCACCUGCCAGCUGUACGUGGGGGUCCAUGCCCUUCAAGGCAGUAACAUCUCAGGUCCAGAUGGGCACCCAGCAGUGGCAUCCUGGCAGAUGACUUGAGAUCUCUAUCAGAUGAUAGUGGAGGCCUCCAGAGCCUUUUCCUACACAAGGUACCUGAGUGUCCAACAAACAAUUUUUGCAGGAACAUCUUUGCUGACGACGUAUCUCGGGCUCUCACUUGUGCUUGUCCUGGCCAUCCUUGUACACGAAGUGUCUGCAUGUGUUCAGCUGGAAGAUGAUGGGGUGAGUGUGCAUAUGGAGGUGAUUCUGGAGAUGGAUGGGUGCAAUCCUACCAGCCCUGCCAAUAUUUGCAACUUGAAACGUUGGGGGAGGGACUUUUUAUCAGGGAGUGCAGUGAUAGGACAAGGAGUAAUGGUUUUAAACUGAAAGAGGGGAGAUUUAGAUUAGAUAUUAGGAAGAAAUUCUUUACUGUGAGGAUGGUGAGACCCUGGAACAGGUUUCCCAGAGAAGGUGUGUCUGCCCCAUCCCUAGAGGGGUUCAAUCCCCUGGCAGGGGGAUUGGAACUCGAUGAUCUUUAAGGUCCCCUCCAACUCUAACCAUUCUGUGAUUCUAUGAUUAUGUAUUUACAGCAAGACAUGACCAUAAGAGGGGUUUUAUAACCAGCUGGUUAACAAGUGCUCCUUCCCAGCAUGGCUGCUUCCAGAAAUCUCCAGGUUUCGACCUGCUGGCUAUUUCAAGUAAGUCUCAAUUUAUAUAUUUUCUUUUCAUAAGCUCUCCAUGGCCAAGCUGUGACAGCUGAGGGAAACCUGCUCAGUCUUUCAGUAUUAAGAUCUCAAUUAUCAGAGGACUGGCUUCUUCCACAGGAUUGUGUGUGUGUGUGUGUUGGGACUCCUUAAAGUCUUUUCAGAGCUGAAGCAUAAGCGGGGACUCAGCUUGGUGUGGUAUUGGGGGCUCUGAAAAAAAAUGCCAGGAGGGAAAGUCCAACCUCGAUUUUUGUCAUUUAAUGCCAC